CAUGGGUUCCUUAGAUCGUACCUACUACAUGGAUAACUGUAGUAAUUCUAGAGCUAAUACAUGCCACUAUGCCCUGACCCGCAAGGGGACGGGUGGAUUUAUUAGAACAGAACCAACCGGUUGUGGCUUCGGUCGCUUCCGUUGUACUCUGUGAUGACUCUGGAUAACUUCACUGAUCGCAGUCGGCCUUGUGUCGGCGACGGAUCUUUCAAAUGUCUGCCCUAUCAAUUUUCGAUGGUAGGUGACCUGCCUACCAUGGUGAUAACGGGUAACGGGGAAUCAGGGUUCGAUUCCGGAGAGGGAGCCUGAGAAACGGCUACCACUUCCAAGGAAGGCAGCAGGCACGCAAAUUACCCAAUCCCGGAACGGGGAGGUAGUGACGAAAAAUACGGAUACGGGACUCGUAUGAGGCUCCGUAAUUCGAAUGAGUACAAUUUAAAUCCUUUAACGAGGAUCAACUGGAGGGCAAGUCUGGUGCCAGCAGCCGCGGUAACUCCAGCUCCAGAAGCGUAUAUUAAAGUUGUUGCAGUUAAAAAGCUCGUAGUUGGAUCUGGGUCGUAUGGCUACGUGCCGUCGCCCGUAAUCGAAGCUUGGUUCCGACUAGGUCAAGUUUGCGGGUCGGUUUCGUGGCUGUGCAGCCUUUCUGCCGUGUCUGUUUCGACAGGUGCCGGCCUAAUCGAUGGGCUUGUCUCGUUGGUUGGUUGGCAUGCUUCCAGAUGCCUUUGAACGGGUGUCGGGGGCGGACGGUACGUUUACUUUGAACAAAUUUGAGUGCUCAAAGCAGGCCUGUGCCUGAAAAUUCUUGCAUGGAAUAAUGGAAUAGGACUUCGGUUCUAUUUUGUUGGUUUUCGGAUCCGAAGUAAUGGUUAAGAGGGACAGACGGGGGCAUUUGUAUGGCGGUGUUAGAGGUGAAAUUCUUGGAUCGCCGCCAGACAAACUACAGCGAAAGCAUUUGCCAAGGAUGUUUUCAUUGAUCUGGAGCGAAAGUCAGAGGUUCGAAGACGAUCAGAUACCGUCCUAGUUCUGACCAUAAACGAUGCCAACUGACGAUCCGUGGGUGAUCUUUUAAUGACCCUGCGGGCAGUCCCCGGGAAACCUUUAAGUCUUUGGGCUCCGGGGGAAGUAUGGUUGCAAAGCUGAAACUUAAAGGAAUUGACGGAAGGGCACCACCAGGAGUGGAGCCUGCGGCUUAAUUCGACUCAACACGGGAAAACUCACCCGGCCCGGACACUGUGAGGAUUGACAGAUUGAUAGCUCUUUCUUGAUUCGGUGGUUGGUGGUGCAUGGCCGUUCUUAGUUGGUGGAGCGAUUUGUCUGGUUAAUUCCGAUAACGAACGAGACUUUGGCCUGCUAAAUAGUAUACCUGUCCUCUGUGCUCGUGCAGGUGGCGGUUCUCUCUGCCCUUUCGGGGGUGGGUGAGGCUGUUUACCGGCGGGUACUGCGCAGGCAUUUACUUCUUAGAGGGACAAGCGACGCGAAAGUCGCACGAAAAUGAGCAAUAACAGGUCUGUGAUGCCCUUAGAUGUCCGGGGCCGCACGUGCGCUACAAUGACGGUUUCAGCGAGUUUUGAAUCCUGGCCCGAAAGGGUUGGGCAAACUGAAUCAUCACCGUCGUGACUGGGAUCGGGGCUUGCAAUUAUUCCCCGUGAACGAGGAAUUCCUGGUAAGUGCAAGUCAUAAGCUUGCGCUGAUUACGUCCCUGCCCUUUGUACACACCGCCCGUCGCUACUACCGAUUGAAUGGUUUAGCAAGGUCAUCGGAUCGGUGCCAUUGUAGUUGUUUCGGCAACUCGACCGG
rnacentral:rRNA from 1 species